rnacentral:ncRNA from 1 species
CAGGAUAAAAACGCAACGCAGAUUCUCUGAAUAUGCCAGAGCUGGUAGGUAGCCCAGCCGUCUGCGCCAUGCGCGCAGGUAAGUAACCCUCCCCUCCGGGUCGUCCGUUCCUGUGAAUUC